rnacentral:rRNA from 1 species
AUGCACGCUGGCGGCGUGCCUAAUACAUGCAAGUCGAGCGAACAGACGAGGAGCUUGCUCGUCUGACGUUAGCGGCGGACGGGUGAGUAACACGUGGAUAACCUACCUAUAAGACUGGGAUAACUUCGGGAAACCGGAGCUAAUACCGGAUAAUAUAUUGAACCGCAUGGUUCAAUAGUGAAAGACGGUUUUGCUGUCACUUAUAGAUGGAUCCGCGCCGCAUUAGCUAGUUGGUAAGGUAACGGCUUACCAAGGCAACGAUGCGUAGCCGACCUGAGAGGGUGAUCGGCCACACUGGAACUGAGACACGGUCCAGACUCCUACGGGAGGCAGCAGUAGGGAAUCUUCCGCAAUGGGCGAAAGCUUGACGGAGCAACGCCGCGUGAGUGAUGAAGGUCUUCGGAUCGUAAAACUCUGUUAUUAGGGAAGAACAAAUGUGUAAGUAACUAUGCACGUCUUGACGGUACCUAAUCAGAAAGCCACGGCUAACUACGUG